CCCAUGUGUUAACUUACUCUAUUUUUAAUGUUAAAACAUUUUUAGAAAGAUUAAGACUUCGUUUUGAAUUGCGAAAAAAUUGCGUUACGUGCUGUCAGAAAGUACGAUAAAAAAAAAAAUCUUAUUUGUUUUCGUAUGUAAUAUUACGUUCUGAAUUUCGCGAUUAGUCUGUUACGAUAUAUUUUUCGCGGUCCCACUGAAGAACUCAAAAGUAUUUCUCUAUAUAUUUUUAUCCUAACUCUAUUUUAUUUAAUAGUGUUAGACAGAGCUCAAUAUCAAAUUAAACCUAAAUAGUUAUACUAUACUCUGUUUUAUGCUAUAUCCGAAAGGCAUAGUUUAAGUGAAA
rnacentral:lncRNA from 1 species